rnacentral:rRNA from 1 species
UACGGGGGGGGCAAGCGUUGUUCGGAAUUACUGGGCGUAAAGGGUUCGUAGGUGGCUUGCUAAGUCAGACGUGAAAUCCCUCGGCUCAACCGGGGAACUGCGUCUGAGACUGGCGAGCUUGAGUGCAGGAGAGGAACGCAGAAUUCCAGGUGUAGCGGUGAAAUGCGUAGAUAUCUGGAGGAAUACCAGUGGCGAAGGCGGGUCUCUGGACAGUUCCUGACACUGAGGCACGAAGGCCAGGGGAGCAAACGGG